rnacentral:rRNA from 1 species
GUUACCAGCACGUUAUGUGGGCACUCUAAGGAGACUGCCGGUGACAAACCGGAGGAAGGUGGGGGAUGACGUCAAGUCAUCAUGGCCCUUACGGCCUGGGCUACACACGUGCUACAAUGGUCGGUACAAAGGGUUGCCAAGCCGCGAGGUGGAGCUAAUCCCAUAAAACCGAUCGUAGUCCGGAUCGCAGUCUGCAACUCGACUGCGUGAAGUCGGAAUCGCUAGUAAUCGUGAAUCAGAAUGUCACGGUGAAUACGUUCCCGGGCCUU